UACGAAGGGGGCUAGCGUUGCUCGGAAUCACUGGGCGUAAAGCGCACGUAGGCGGCGUCUUAAGUCAGUGGUGAAAUCCUGGAGCUCAACUCCAGAACUGCCUCUGAUACUGAGAUGCUUGAGUCCGGGAGAGGUGAGUGGAACUGCGAGUGUAGAGGUGAAAAUUCGUAGAUAUUCGCAAGAACACCAGUGGCGAAGGCGGCUCACUGGCCCGAUACUGACGCUGAGGCACGAAAGCGUGGGGAAGCAAACAGGG
rnacentral:rRNA from 1 species